AGACCGGCUUACUGGUCGUGCUAUUGUACGUACUGGUAUAAUCGGUUUCUCCUUUCUGACGAACUUUAAUGCCAUUAAUUUGGUGUUUUAGGGAAUCAGGACUGUUACUUUGAAAAAAUUAGAGUGUUUAAAGCAGGCUCACGCUUGAAUACAUUAGCAUGGAAUAACGGAAUAGGACGUUUGAUUCUAUUUUGUUGGUUUCUAGGAUCGACGUAAUGAUUAAUAGGGAUAGUUGGG
rnacentral:rRNA from 1 species